AGAACAACAACGAUGGUGGCUACUUGAAGGCCCCUUUACUGCAGCUGUCUGUGGGCUGCAGCUCCCGCUUAAAAAGGAGACGAAGACAUGCAGCAGCUUUGGCUUCCGGUCCGAGAAAACAUGGUGCUUGGUAGGAAACCCCAGAGAGAGGAGCUCUGUUGCAUAGCUGCUGAAGCAUCCGUACCUCCGGCUGAAGCCACGUUAUCCCCUGAUCCAGGUACAGAUGAGGAAAGUAAAAUGAUUGACGUUGUUUGGUGCCAACAACACGCAUUGUCUACAGUCCAAACGGCAACCGUAAGAGGAUCCUAACAGACCUGCCAACCUCUCAGCCUACGAGCAGCAGAAUCCUCUGAGCAGCUGAUAAUUUGGCCAGAACUGUACAGCAGCAGCAGCAGAAGAGGCUGGAUGUCACAGAGUGUACA